GCGGGCGUCCGGAUGGACAGAGCCAGGGGCACACGGCUGACACCUCAGAGCUAAUUCCCUCCUCGAGCGCGAACCUCCAGGCUUAAGCUGCCGCAGGGUGUGAGCCUCCCAUCCCCCCUCCAAACGCCGCAGAUGCAGGGGGCACCGCCGCCUUCGGGGACGUGCAGCCACACCCCAGCCUGACGCUGCUGCUCUCGACCGCUACUGGAGUGGUGGGGAGGGGUGAGUGGACUCCAGGAAUCCUCGGAAGGGCGGGGGCGAGGCGGAGGCAGGGAGCCCCUCUAGCCGCGACUUCGGAACAGCACUCCUUGUUCUCGAUGGUACCCGCACGACCGUCUUAGCGCACGACACUUCCGGUUGCUUUUAAAGGCCCCCAUGCUGCGCUACGCGGAGCGUGAGAGGAAGGUAUAAAGGGGAGCGAGAGGGCCGGACCGAGGAGGAAGGGGAAAAAAACCUAGGGGAAGGGGGCGGGGGAGGGAGGCGCGAAGGGCGCGCUCUCGCGUCACGUGACCGGGACGCGCCGUUCUUCCGUCGGCCAUUUUAGGUGGUCCGCGGCGGCGCCAUUAAAGCGAGGAGGAGGCAAGAGCGGCCGCCGCUGGUGCUUAUUCUUUUUCAGUGCAGCGGGAGAGAGCGGGAGUGUGCGCCGCGCGAGAGUGGGAGGCGAAGGGGGCAGGCCAGGGAGAGGCGCAGGAGCCUUUGCAGCCACGCGCGCGCCUUCCCUGUCUUGUGUGCUUCGCGAGGUAGAGCGGGCGCGCGGCAGCGGCGGGGAUUACUUUGCUGCUAGUUUCGGUUCGCGGCAGCGGCGGGUGUAGUCUCGGCGGCAGCGGCGGAGACACUAGCACUAUGUCGGAGGAGCAGUUCGGCGGGGACGGGGCGGCGGCGGCGGCAACGGCAGCGGUAGGCGGCUCGGCGGGCGAGCAGGAGGGAGCCAUGGUGGCGGCGGCACAGGGGGCAGCGGCGGCGGCGGGAAGCGGAGCCGGGACCGGAGGCGGAACCGCGUCUGGAGGCACCGAAGGGGGCAGCGCCGAGUCGGAGGGGGCGAAGAUCGACGCCAGUAAGAACGAGGAAGAUGAAGGCCAUUCAAACUCCUCCCCACGACACACUGAAGCAGCGACGGCACAGCGGGAAGAAUGGAAAAUGUUUAUAGGAGGCCUUAGCUGGGACACUACAAAGAAAGAUCUGAAGGACUACUUUUCCAAAUUUGGUGAAGUUGUAGACUGCACUCUGAAGUUAGAUCCUAUCACAGGGCGAUCAAGGGGUUUUGGCUUUGUGCUAUUUAAAGAAUCGGAGAGUGUAGAUAAGGUUAUGGAUCAGAAAGAACAUAAAUUGAAUGGGAAGGUGAUUGAUCCUAAAAGGGCCAAAGCCAUGAAAACAAAAGAGCCGGUUAAAAAAAUUUUUGUUGGUGGCCUUUCUCCAGAUACACCUGAAGAGAAAAUAAGGGAGUACUUUGGUGGUUUUGGUGAGGUGGAAUCCAUAGAGCUUCCCAUGGACAACAAGACCAAUAAGAGGCGUGGCUUCUGCUUUAUUACCUUUAAGGAAGAAGAACCAGUGAAGAAGAUAAUGGAAAAGAAAUACCACAAUGUUGGUCUUAGUAAAUGUGAAAUAAAAGUAGCCAUGUCGAAGGAACAGUAUCAGCAACAGCAACAGUGGGGAUCUAGAGGAGGAUUUGCAGGAAGAGCUCGUGGAAGAGGUGGUGGCCCCAGUCAAAACUGGAACCAGGGAUAUAGUAACUAUUGGAAUCAAGGCUAUGGCAACUAUGGAUAUAACAGCCAAGGUUACGGUGGUUAUGGAGGAUAUGACUACACUGGUUACAACAACUACUAUGGAUAUGGUGAUUAUAGCAACCAGCAGAGUGGUUAUGGGAAGGUAUCCAGGCGAGGUGGUCAUCAAAAUAGCUACAAACCAUACUAAAUUAUUCCAUUUGCAACUUAUCCCCAACAGCGGGAACUUCAUUGCAGGCCCUGUGUCGCGCUGACUUCACGAUUCUCACAGGCCCGCUCAAUGCGGACAGGGUACGAGAUGCUCACGCUCUCGAAUGCUGCCGUUUGGUGGUGAAGCAGUAUUUUCCAAUUUGAAGAUUCAUUUGAAGGUGGCUCCUGCCACCUGCUAAUAGCAGUUCAAACUAAAUUUUUUGUAUCAAGUCCCCGAAUGGAAGUAUGACGUUGGGUCCCUCUGAAGUUUAAUUCUGAGUUCUCAUUAAAAGAAAUUUGCUUUCAUUGUUUUAUUUCUUAAUUGCUAUGCUUCAGAAUCAAUUUGUGUUUUAUGCCCUUCCCCCAAGUAUUGUAGAGCAAGUCUUGUGUUAAAAGCCCAGUGUGACAGUGUCAUGAUGUAGUAGUGUCUUACUGGUUUUUUAAUAAAUCCUUUUGUAUAAAAAUGUAUUGGCUCUUUUAUCAUCAGAAUAGGAAAAAUUGAGGAAUACUAAAAAUUGUCAUGGAUUCAGGUUACUAAAACAGGCUUGUGGAAUUUGAGGACAAGAUUAAAAUUGCAGUGAAGUUUUAAAUGUUUUUAGCAAAAUUGAAUUUUUGCCACCUUGUGUCCUCCCUGUCCAAAUUGGGAAUGACUUAAUGUCAAUUUGUUUGUUGGUUGUUUUAAUAAUUCCUUAUGUAGCCACUAAGAUCUAUAUGAAUAUUUUCCCAAAUGCCCAGUUUUUGCUUAAUAUGUAUUGUGUUUUUUAGAACAAUUCUGGAUAAACGUGCAAAAGUAUCCCUUUGCACAGAUAGUUAAUGUUUUGUGCUUCCAUUAAAUAAAAAGUGAGGACUUAAGAAAAUCUGCUAAUUAUAAUAGAAAUGCAGCUAGUUCAGAGAGAUUUUUAGAGCUGUGGUGGACUUCAACGAUGAAUUCAAGUGAUGAGGGAGGAUUAAAGAAAUAUAUACCAUG